UACGUAGGCAGCAAGCGUUGUUCGGAGUUACUGGGCGUAAAGGGUGCGUAGGCGGUUCUGUAAGUAUGGUGUGAAAUCUCCCGGCUUAACUGGGAGGGUGCGCUAUAGACUGCGGGACUAGAGGGUCGGAGAGGAAAGUGGAAUUCCUGGUGUAGCGGUGAAAUGCGUAGAUAUCAGGAGGAACACCGGUGGUGUAAACGGCUUUCUGGACGAUUUCUGACGCUGAGGCACGAAAGCGUGGGUAG
rnacentral:rRNA from 1 species